rnacentral:rRNA from 1 species
UUGACCUCGGAUCACGUAGGUACCCCA